rnacentral:rRNA from 1 species
GGUAUGGGAUGAGCUUGCGUCCGAUUAGCUAGUUGGCGGGGCAACGGCCCACCAAGGCGACGAUCGGUAGCCGGCCUGAGAGGGUGAUCGGCCACAUUGGGACUGAGAUACGGCCCAGACUCCUACGGGAGGCAGCAGUAGGGAAUAUUGCACAAUGGGGGGAACCCUGAUGCAGCAACGCCACGUGUGGGAAGAAGCAUUUCGGUGUGUAAACCACUGUCGUGAGGGAAUAAGGCCUGUUCUAGGACAGGAUUGAAUGUACCUCGAAAGGAAGCACCGGCAAACUUCGUGCCAGCAGCCGCGGUGAUACGAGGGGUGCAAGCGUUGUUCGGAAUCACUGGGCGUAAAGGGAGCGUAGGCGGAGAUUCAAGCGGAUUGUACAAUCCCGGGGCCCAACCCCGGACCUGCAGUCCGAACUGGAUCUCUUGGAUAGUUCAGGGGCAGGC